CGGCGUCCGAGUUGUAAUCUCGAGAAAUGUUUUCCGUGUUAGACCGCAUACAAGUCUCUUGGAACAGAGCGUCAUAGUGGUGAGAACCCAGUACACGAUGCGGAUGCCUAAUACUUUGUGAUACAUUUUCGAAGAGUCGAGUUGUUUGGGAAUGCAGCUCAAAUUGGGUGGUAAAUUCCAUCUAAAGCUAAAUAUUGGCGAGAGACCGAUAGCGAACAAGUACCGUGAGGGAAAGAUGAAAAGCACUUUGGAAAGAGAGUUAACAGUACGUGAAAUUGUUGGAAGGGAAACACAUGCAGUCAGACUUGCUAUUCGGGGCAACUCGAUUGGCAGGCCCGCAUCAGUUUUUCGGGGCGGAAAAGCAUAGAGAGAAGGUAGCAGUUUCGGCUGUGUUAUAGCUCUUUAUUGGAUUCGCCCUGGGGGACUGAGGAACGCAGCGUGCUUUUAGCAUGAGCUUCGGCUUAUCCACGCUUAGGAUGCGGGUGUAAUGGCUGUAUAUGACC
rnacentral:rRNA from 1 species